rnacentral:RNase_P_RNA from 2 species
GAGAGGAGGGGCAGGCGAUCGCGUCCUUGCUGUCGCCACCAGACAGCGGGAUGAGGAAAGUCCGGGCUUUCAGAAGAACACACCGCUGGGGAAAGCCCAGUGCGGGUAACCGCGAGGAUAGUGCCACAGAAACAUACCGCCGAUGGCUGGGAUCCCAGCACAGGUAAGGGUGCAAAGGUGGGGUAAGAGCCCACCAGCAACGUCGUGAGGCGUUGGCUCGGUAAACCCCGGUGGAAAGCAAGGCCGCAGCCGCAGGAUCAUGGCUGUUCUUCGCCCCUGUUGGCUGCAUCGAGAUCACGGUACCCAAAGUGGGGAAGGGUGCUCUCGAUGGUGGUGAGCCGCUAGAGGGUGAUGGUAACAUCACUCCCAGAUGGAUGAUCGCCAGUGCAACUCUGCACUACAGAACCCGGCUUACAACCUCCUCUCUUUU